rnacentral:rRNA from 1 species
CCUACGGGAGGCAGCAGUGAGGAAUAUUGGUCAAUGGGCGCAAGCCUGACCCAGCAACGCCGCGUGAAGGAAGAAGGCUCUCGGGUUGUAAACUUCUUUUAAGAGGGAAGAGCAGAAGACGGUACCUCUUGAAUAAGCCACGGCUAACUACGUGCCAGCAGCCGCGGUAAUACGUAGGUGGCAAGCGUUGUCCGGAUUUACUGGGUGUAAAGGGCGUGCAGCCGGGAAGACAAGUCAGAUGUGAAAUCCCGCGGCUCAACCGCGGAACUGCAUUUGAAACUGUUUGUCUUGAGUACCGGAGAGGUCAUCGGAAUUCGUUGUGUAGCGGUGAAAUGCGUAGAUAUAAGGAAGAACACCAGUGGCGAAGGCAGAUGACUGGACGGCAACUGACGGUGAGGCGCGAAAGCGUGGGGAGCAAACAGGAUUAGAUACCCCUGUAGUC